CUGGCUCCCUGUAUGCCA
rnacentral:sRNA from 1 species